rnacentral:rRNA from 1 species
AUUGAACGCUGGUGGAAUGCUUUACACAUGCAAGUCGAACGGCAGCACGGACUUCGGUCUGGUGGCGAGUGGCGAACGGGUGAGUAAUGUAUCGGAACGUGCCCAGUCGUGGGGGAUAACGUAGUGAAAAUUACGCUAAUACCGCAUACGAUCUAUGGAUGAAAGCGGGGGAUCGCAAGACCUCGCGCGAUUGGAGCGGCCGAUAUCAGAUUAGGUAGUUGGUGGGGUAAAGGCCCACCAAGCCAACGAUCUGUAGCUGGUCUGAGAGGACGACCAGCCACACUGGAACUGAGACACGGUCCAGACUCCUACGGGAGGCAGCAGUGGGGAAUUUUGGACAAUGGGCGAAAGCCUGAUCCAGCCAUUCCGCGUGCAGGAUGAAGGCCCUCGGGUUGUAAACUGCUUUUGUACAGAACGAAAAGGUUUCUACUAAUACUAGGAGCUCAUGACGGUACUGUAAGAAUAAGCACCGGCUAACUACGUGCCAGCCGCCGCGGUAA